CCUACGGGUGACAGCAGUGAGGAAUAUUGGUCAAUGGCCGUAAGGCUGAACCAGCCAAGUCGCGUGAAGGAAGAAGGAGCUAUGGAUUGUAAACUUCUUUUAUAGGGGAAUAAAGGAAGCCACGUGUGGAGAUUUGCAUGUACCCUAUGAAUAAGCAUCGGCUAACGCCGUGCCAGCAGCCGCGGUAAUACGGAGGAUGCGAGCGUUAUCCGGAUUUAUUGGGUUUAAAGGGUGCGUAGGUGGUUUUUUAAGUCAGCGGUGAAAGUUUGUGGCUCCACCCUAAAAUUGCCGUUGAAACUGGUAUACUUGAGUGUGUUUGAGGUAGGCGGAAUGCUUGUUGUAGCGGU
rnacentral:rRNA from 1 species